rnacentral:rRNA from 1 species
AGACCCGAAACCCGGUGAUCUAGCCAUGGGCAGGUUGAAGGUUGGGUAACACUAACUGGAGGACCGAACCGACUAAUGUUGAAAAAUUAGCGGAUGACCUGUGGCUGGGGGUGAAAGGCCAAUCAAACCGGGAGAUAGCUGGUUCUCCCCGAAAGCUAUUUAGGUAGCGCCUCGUGAAUUCAUCUCCGGGGGUAGAGCACUGUUUCGGCUAGGGGGCCAUCCCGGCUUACCAACCCGAUGCAAACUGCGAAUACCGGAGAAUGUUAUCACGGGAGACACACGGCGGGUGCUAACGUCCGUCGUGAAGAGGGAAACAACCCAGACCGCCAGCUAAGGUCCCAAAGUCAUGGUUAAGUGGGAAACGAUGUGGGAAGGCCCAGACAGCCAGGAUGUUGGCUUAGAAGCAGCCAUCAUUUAAAGAAAGCGUAAUAGCUCACUGGUCGAGUCGGCCUGCGCGGAAGAUGUAACGGGGCUAAACCAUGCACCGAAGCUGCGGCAGCGAACGUAUCACCCAAGACAACUUUACGGAGUUGACGAUUGACGGAGCGAAGCGACGUCAAAGCGUUCAUUAAAGUCAAGUUGGCUUAGGGAUACGUUCGUUGGGUAGGGGAGCGUUCUGUAAGCCUGUGAAGGUGUGUCGUGAGGCAUGCUGGAGGUAUCAGAAGUGCGAAUGCUGACAUAAGUAACGAUAAAGCGGGUGAAAAGCCCGCUCGCCGGAAGACCAAGGGUUCCUGUCCAACGUUAAUCGGGGCAGGGUGAGUCGACCCCUAAGGCGAGGCCGAAAGGCGUAGUCGAUGGGAAACGGGUUAAUAUUCCCGUACUUGGUGUUACUGCGAAGGGGGGACGGAGAAGGCUAUGUUGGCCGGGCGACGGUUGUCCCGGUUUAAGCGUGUAGGUGUGUGUUCCAGGUAAAUCCGGUUCACUUUAACACUGAGGCGUGACGACGAGGCACUACGGUGCUGAAGCAACAAAUGCCCUGCUUCCAGGAAAAGCCUCUAAGCAUCAGGUAACACGAAAUCGUACCCCAAACCGACACAGGUGGUCAGGUAGAGAAUACCAAGGCGCUUGAGAGAACUCGGGUGAAGGAACUAGGCAAAAUGGUGCCGUAACUUCGGGAGAAGGCACGCUGACACGUAGGUGAAGUGAUUUACUCAUGGAGCUGAAGUCAGUCGAAGAUACCAGCUGGCUGCAACUGUUUAUUAAAAACACAGCACUGUGCAAACACGAAAGUGGACGUAUACGGUGUGACGCCUGCCCGGUGCCGGAAGGUUAAUUGAUGGGGUCAGCGUAAGCGAAGCUCCUGAUCGAAGCCCCGGUAAACGGCGGCCGUAACUAUAACGGUCCUAAGGUAGCGAAAUUCCUUGUCGGGUAAGUUCCGACCUGCACGAAUGGCGUAAUGAUGGCCAGGCUGUCUCCACCCGAGACUCAGUGAAAUUGAACUCGCUGUGAAGAUGCAGUGUACCCGCGGCAAGACGGAAAGACCCCGUGAACCUUUACUAUAGCUUGACACUGAACAUUGAGCCUUGAUGUGUAGGAUAGGUGGGAGGCUUUGAAGUGUGGACGCCAGUCUGCAUGGAGCCGACCUUGAAAUACCACCCUUUAAUGUUUGAUGUUCUAACGUGGACCCGUAAUCCGGGUUGCGGACAGUGUCUGGUGGGUAGUUUGACUGGGGCGGUCUCCUCCUAAAGAGUAACGGAGGAGCACGAAGGUUGGCUAAUCCUGGUCGGACAUCAGGAGGUUAGUGCAAUGGCAUAAGCCAGCUUGACUGCGAGCGUGACGGCGCGAGCAGGUGCGAAAGCAGGUCAUAGUGAUCCGGUGGUUCUGAAUGGAAGGGCCAUCGCUCAACGGAUAAAAGGUACUCCGGGGAUAACAGGCUGAUACCGCCCAAGAGUUCAUAUCGACGGCGGUGUUUGGCACCUCGAUGUCGGCUCAUCACAUCCUGGGGCUGAAGUAGGUCCCAAGGGUAUGGCUGUUCGCCAUUUAAAGUGGUACGCGAGCUGGGUUUAGAACGUCGUGAGACAGUUCGGUCCCUAUCUGCCGUGGGCGCUGGAGAACUGAGGGGGGCUGCUCCUAGUACGAGAGGACCGGAGUGGACGCAUCACUGGUGUUCGGGUUGUCAUGCCAAUGGCACUGCCCGGUAGCUAAAUGCGGAAGAGAUAAGUGCUGAAAGCAUCUAAGCACGAAACUUGCCCCGA